AUGCCAGCAGCCGCGGUAAUACGUAGGUGGCAAGCGUUGUCCGGAUUUACUGGGCGUAAAGGGUGUGUAGGCGGAAUCUUAAGUAGGAAGUGAAAUCUUCGAGCUCAACUCGGAGGCUGCUCCCUAUACUGGGGUUCUUGAGUCCCGGAGAGGAAGAUGGAACGACACGUGUAGCGGUGAAAUGCGUUGAUAUGUGUCGGAACACCAAUGGCGAAGGCAGUCUUCUGGACGGGAACUGACGCUGAGACACGAAAGCCAAGGGAGCGAACAGGAUUAGAUACCCUGGUAGUCC
rnacentral:rRNA from 1 species